GAGCAACCUGCCCCUGACUCUGGGAUAAGCGCUGGAAACGGCGUCUAAUACUGGAUACGAACCACGAAGGCAUCUUCAGUGGUUGGAAAGAAUUUCGGUUGGGGAUGGGCUCGCGGCCUAUCAGCUUGUUGGUGAGGUAAUGGCUCACCAAGGCGUCGACGGGUAGCCGGCCUGAGAGGGUGACCGGCCACACUGGGACUGAGACACGGCCCAGACUCCUACGGGAGGCAGCAGUGGGGAAUAUUGCACAAUGGGCGCAAGCCUGAUGCAGCAACGCCGCGUGAGGGAUGACGGCCUUCGGGUUGUAAACCUCUUUUAGCAGGGAAGAAGCGAAAGUGACGGUACCUGCAGAAAAAGCGCCGGCUAACUACGUGCCAGCAGCCGCGGUAAUACGUAGGGCGCAAGCGUUAUCCGGAAUUAUUGGGCGUAAAGAGCUCGUAGGCGGUUUGUCGCGUCUGCUGUGAAAUCCCGAGGCUCAACCUCGGGCCUGCAGUGGGUACGGGCAGACUAGAGUGCGGUAGGGGAGAUUGGAAUUCCUGGUGUAGCGGUGGAAUGCGCAGAUAUCA
rnacentral:rRNA from 1 species